CUGGACCACAGGCAUCAGGCUUUUCAGGAGUUUCGGAGCCUUUUAAUCAAAUCCAAUUUAAUGGACCUCAGUCUCCGCAAGGAUCAAGACCGCAUUUACCGAAUCCUUUAUUAUUUAACCAAUCGCCUACUAAUAGACAACCAUCCGGACCUCAGUCACGACAAACUCCUUCUCCCGGGCAAUCAUUUGGACCAAAAUUUCCGGUACCAACGCCAAAUCCACAGUUAUCAGGCCCUUCAACAUUUCCAGGAUCUUUUGACAUAAACUCAUUUAAUAGACCAUAAUUUCUCCGAACAUCAAGACCACGGUCACCAGAUGUAACCAAAUUCAAUCAAUUUUCUUCCUACGAAGAACCUUUUGAAUCCCUGCCUCGACCACGUCCUAGAUCUGAUAUUAUGAAAAAAUGGCUGCCAACUCGAAAAGAUCUAUUAGAAUAUUAUCAACAAAAUCCGGUGUAAAUUGAAAUAAUAUACCACGAUUUCCG